CAGGGACCGAUGCAAGUGUGGCCGAAUUCGGCCGAAAACGGCCGAAAAUGGCCAACUCGAGGUGGAUCGCCGCUGCAAGCGGCGACACCGUCGCCGGAGCAUGGCAGAGCCGCCAUGCUGGAAUUUUGAUAUUGGCCGAAAGGGGUCCUAGGUCUGAUUUGAUAUUUUUGGGACACGUGCAGGUACUGGUAGUGCGUUUAAGUUUUUUCAGAAAAAAUUCAGGAAAAUUAGGGACAGCUUGUAGGCGCACUGUAGAGUCGAAUUCAGACCCUGAAACAGGUAAGGAUCUCUCACCCUAUUUUCUAUCACGGUAUUAAAGCUUAAUAAAUAAUUAAACGGUAUUUUGAGACU
rnacentral:lncRNA from 1 species